UGGGGAAUAUUGGACAAUGGGCGCAAGCCUGAUCCAGCCAUGCCGCGUGUGUGAAGAAGGUCUUCGGAUUGUAAAGCACUUUAAGUUGGGAGGAAGGGCAGUAAGCGAAUACCUUGCUGUUUUGACGUUACCGACAGAAUAAGCACCGGCUAACUCUGUGCCAGCAGCCGCGGUAAUACAGAGGUUGCAAGCGUUAAUCGGAAUUACUGGGCGUAAAGCGCGCGUAGGUGGUUCGUUAAGUUGAAUGUGAAAGCCCCGGGCUCAACCUGGGAACUGCAUCCAAAACUGGCGAGCUAGAGUAGGGCAGAGGGUGGUGGAAUUUCCUGUGUAGCGGUGAAAUGCGUAGAUAUAGGAAGGAACACCAGUGGCGAAGGCGACCACCUGGGCUCAUACUGACACUGAGGUGCGAAAGCGUGGGGAGCAAACAGG
rnacentral:rRNA from 1 species